AUGCGUGCUGCAGAGUGGCUGGUCCGUGCUGCUGCCCACCGCCGAGGAGCGGGCCCGGGCACUCUCUGCUCCCCUGCCCUGCGCAGGUGGGCUUGGGGAAGGAACAGGAAAGGGCAUGGGUCACGGUGCUGGGAGGGGAUGGCGUUUCACUCAAAUUGGCACACACUUUCUAUUUCAGUUUCAGGCAAUGACGUGAACAUAAGUCGAGGUUGUCAAUUCAUGAGUGAUCAUCUGGUGGGCAGCUUGGUGGCUGCUGGAUGGCUGGAGUCAGCCUUACACGGAGCCAUUACUGCAGAGAUCCAGGAUAUUGAAGCCAAAAAAGAAGCACAGAAGGAAAAAGAAGUUGAUGAACAGGAAGCGAAUGCCUCAGCAUUUCAUAGGAGCAAGAUGGCAUUGGAUAAAGACCUUGUUAAUAUGGGAAUCUGUGAGUCUUCUGGCAAACGGUGUUUACCUCUGGUUCAGCUCGUACAACAGCUUCUUAGGUAAAUCGUAUGAGCUGUGUUGUGUUGUAUUGUAUUGUAUUGUAUUUAUUUAAUUUUUUUUUUUUUUUUUUUUUUUUUUUUUUUUUUUUUUUUUUUGAGGGAAAAUUUCCCUCUUGUUACCCCGGCUGGAAUGGAGUGAUACAAUCUUGACUCACCGCAACCUCCACCUCCCGGGUUCAAGUGAUUCUCCUGCCUCAACCUCCUGGACAGCUGGGAUUACAGGGGUGGGCCACUGCACCCGGCUAAUUUUGUAAUUUUAAUGGAAAAGGAGUUUCUUCACGUUGGUCAGGGUGGUCUUGAACUCCCGACCUCAAGUGAUCCGCACGCCCUGGGCUCCCCAAGUGUUGGGAUUAUAGGCAUUAACCCCCACGCCCGGGCUAUUUAUUUACUUAUUAAAGUUUUUUUUUUGUUUUUUUUUUUUUUGAGAAAAAAUCCUGCUCUAUUGUCCAGGCUGGAGUGCAGUGUCACGAUCUUGGCUCACUGCAACCUCUGCCUCCUGGGUUCAAGCUGUUCUCCUGCCUCAGCCUCCCGAGUAGCUGGGACUACAGGCAUCUGCAACCACACCUGGCUGAUUUUUGUAUUUUUAGUAGAGACACGUUUUCAGCAUAUUGGUUCAGGCUCGCCUCCAACUCCUGACCUCAGGUGAUCCACCUGCGUUGGCCUCUCAAAAUGUUGGGAUUACAGGCGUUAGCCACUGUGCCUGGCCUGUAUUGUGUUUUAAUAGGUGAUUAUUGGUUUUCAUAUUAAGAUAGUGAAAUCCAGCACAAGGAUCUCAAAAAUCUGGUGAUGGAAGGAAUAUUCUGAAAAUUACCUAGUACAGAUGUUAGGAUAAAGAGCAGACCCUUUUCAACAUAGGUGAGAGGAGAAGUUGGAGGGUAUGAUGAUAUUCAAAAGUUUUUCACAGAAGAGAAAUUGAGGUGUGCAGUAAACAUGUAAAAAGAUUCUUAGUAAUAAACACGUGGAUGCAAAUAAAAAUCAUCAUGGAAGGUUAUUUUUAAAACUGGUUCUAUCAUUGCCUCACUUUAUAUACUACAGAGUUAUACAUACUACUUUGUAAGGUAACUUUACUCUUGGAAACUAAAGUCCAUGUGAAAUACUGGUGAGCAUUGUUCUGGAAGGCCGGACUAGGAGGAGGUGGGAAGAAGUCGGACUCCGCCUGUGGACAGAGGCUAACCUUGGCAGAAGCCAAAACAGUCAGGCAGUGUUGGGUAAACAUGAUCGUUCCAGAGGAGCGGAAGAGCAAGGUGAUUUGUGAAAGAGAUUUAUUAGACAAUGAAACACAUUUAUACCUCUAUUUCAUAAAAGUCUGCUGUUUGUAAGCUCGUGCUCCUGAUUUUUGUUUCUAUACAUAGAGAAAGCAGGGCCUUGGCAGGUUGGAUCAGGCAGCCGAGCACAGAGCAGGGAGCCCUGGGCAGUGGCCCCAGCUCUCAGCUGGCCUGUUCAUGGGGCCAUGGUAGGUCUGCAGUGUGGGGUGGGCCUGCA
rnacentral:lncRNA from 10 species